rnacentral:rRNA from 1 species
AGCUGAUCACUGGGUAUAAAGCGUGCGCAGGCGGUUUUGUAAGACAGAGGUGAAAUCCCCGGGCUCAACCUGGGAACUGCCUUUGUGACUGCAAGGCUGGAGUGCGGCAGAGGGGGAUGGAAUUCCGCGUGUAGCAGUGAAAUGCGUAGAUAUGCGGAGGAACACCGAUGGCGAAGGCAAUCCCCUGGGCCUGCACUGACGCUCAUGCACGAAAGCGUGGGGAGCAAACA